CGAGAAUUUGAAGUUUGAUUUCUCUGGAGUGGUUUAAUUGCUUUCCUUAGCUGUCAAUUAGGAUGUGUUGCACACGAUGUGGGAUGAUUGCAUCUUGAAAUGCUUAGACUUAAAUAAAAACACAAUGACCACCUGUGUGACCAAUGCUAGCUUAGCUCCUUGAUGUGAACAUGCAGGAAUGUGUUAGUGUGAUCAGUGCGGGAUGGUUAGGUUUAAUGUAUUAGUGGGUUAAUGAUGCUUUCUAAUCGCUGGCAAGGAUAGCUAGUGCUGCAAAAGUUGCGGUAGGACGGUUAAAACUUGUGCAUUUUGUGUAUGAUAUAUGCAUGUCCAACAGGAUGGAAGUGUGUAACAAAUCAAUUGCAAUAAUCUGUGCUUGAUGAUAGUGUCUGGUCUCUGCUGCUGCUUCCCCGCGGAUACGCUUGUGGACAAGAACAUUUAUAAAGGUUGUGGGAACAGAAAAUGAAUGAUCACGGCAUAUAUAUGAUCAAGCAAUUUGCUAGUCACAGGAUCUGCUAUUCAUCAUACGAGUAAGGCCAGGCAAGAUGGCCUUUCCAUUUGCCUCUUGAUCAUAUAAAUUCUUUUAGGGGA
rnacentral:lncRNA from 1 species